rnacentral:rRNA from 1 species
GACGGAGGAUGCAAGCGUUAUCCGGAAUUAUUGGGCGUAAAGCGUCCGCAGGUGGACAUACAAGUCUGCUGUCAAAGUGCAGAGCUUAACUCUGUAAAGGCGGUGGAAACUGUAGGUCUUGAGUAUGGUAGGGGUAGAGGGAAUUCCCGGUGUAGCGGUGAAAUGCGUAGAUAUCGGGAAGAACACCAGUGGCGAAAGCGCUCUACUGGACCACAACUGACACUCAGGGACGAAAGCUAGGGGAGCGAAUGGG